CGUGAUUUCUCAACGUUUUCCGCCUAUCUUCAGAGGACGGAACCAUUGAGUUCUAUAAUAACUGGAGCGGCUAUCUCUCAAAAGUUGAUUCAAGUUUGUUUUUGCGUUUGAAUUUCGUAUCAGAGUAAUCAUGUAGACGCAUUUACAUGAAUUUUGAAAAUUUUUGGCCAGAAGAAUCAUCGCAAAGUUAUGUCUUUUGGACUGACAAUUGACCAAAGAUCUACUGUUGAUACAUUCACAGGACCAAAUUCCAGCACAGUAUCCCCAAGACAUUGUCUUUCUGUAUAUGCAUUUAUUCGCUGCCUUGGAGUCAGAAACAAUGAAUUGUAUGUCAACUGUUUCUCGUUUUGCAAUGAAUCACUGACCUUUCUUGUUGUUCCAUGUUGUUGAUUGGCGGUACUUCAGUUCUUUCUUGUGAUGCCUGGAUUUCCUCUGUUUCACUCUCAUACAACAAUUCUUGCUCAACUGGCUCUUCAAGUGCAUUCUGGGACGUAAAUUCCAUUGUCCAAUGCUAUGAAAACGCUGUUUCCAUUGUGUUGUGGGAGGGCUGUGAAAUUCCAUUCUUCAAAGUUUUGUCUGAUGAGCUCCUAACGCAGAAAUCACCUUUACUAUUGUCGAUGCAAUCAACAUCAUUAUCGCGAAAUUCGCGCGAUGUGAAUGAACUUUUCAUACAGUGCUUGAUAAAGUGGGGAAGAUCAUCAUGUGUCUAUAUGUGACAAAGGAAAAAAAGGACGAAGAGAAGGCUGAAAAACAGAGUAGUAGCGCAGAGAAAACAGAGCAGGAUGCAAGGAGGCACGAAAUGCCGUUGCAAAGUACAGUUUAACACCUCAAUAC